rnacentral:rRNA from 1 species
UGCGACCUUGAGGGUGUGGAUGAGGUUGUCGCGGGUUGUCUCGUAGCGAUCGUUCUCGCGCAGGAUGUCCCCGACGAAGGUGUAGACCACCCAGCGGCCGCGGCGCGGAUCGUGGCGGAUCAGCCAGUCCAGCAUCGUGCCGGUGUCGUCGUCGAUGUGCAGGAUUCGUGGCCCGUAGCGCAUCCGGUCCUCGGCUGUUUCGAUGCUUGUGGUUCUGCCAGCUGCUCAGUACCCCGCCGUGCAUCGCCUCGAGGAUCGUUCGCGCGAGCUCGUGGAGGGGCACGAUUUCGUCCAGGCCGGCCGCGAUCGUGCCGCUGAGAUCCAUGGCGACUUCUUUGAAGGACUGCUGAUCGCGCCAGCGGAGCGCGAAGCGCGGCUUGAUUUCAGGGCUGCGGCUGAGGCGCGACAGGAUCC